GUGGGGAAUAUUGGACAAUGGGCGAAAGCCUGAUCCAGCCAUGCCGCGUGUGUGAAGAAGGUCUUCGGAUUGUAAAGCACUUUAAGUUGGGAGGAAGGGCAGUAAGUUAAUACCUUGCUGUUUUGACGUUACCGACAGAAUAAGCACCGGCUAACUUCGUGCCAGCAGCCGCGGUAAUACGAAGGGUGCAAGCGUUAAUCGGAAUUACUGGGCGUAAAGCGCGCGUAGGUGGUUUUGUAAGUUGGAGGUGAAAUCCCCGGGCUCAACCUGGGAACUGCCUCCAAAACUGCAUGACUAGAGUACGGUAGAGGGUGGUGGAAUUUCCUGUGUAGCGGUGAAAUGCGUAGAUAUAGGAAGGAACACCAGUGGCGAAGGCGACCACCUGGACUGAUACUGACACUGAGGUGCGAAAGCGUGGGGAGCAAACAGGAUUAGAAACCCCUGUAGUCC
rnacentral:rRNA from 1 species